rnacentral:tRNA from 1 species
GCAGUGGUGGUUCAGUGGUAGAGUUCUUGCCUUUCAAGGGGGCCAGGUCCAAUUCCUGGCCAAUGUU